GCCCGGUUGAUCUAGUCGGUUAUGAUGCAGACCUAAUAAGUCUGAUGUCGGCGGUUCGAUCCCGCCACUGGGCA
rnacentral:tRNA from 1 species